rfam:Pseudozyma hubeiensis SY62 DNA, scaffold: PHS33.
GGGUCUUUAGCUCAGCAGUAGAGCGGCAGACUUCGGUAGAAAUUCUGAAGCUACGUCUUAACAGUCGUUUAUUCUGCAGGUCGCGGGUUCAAUCCCCGUAGGACUCU